rnacentral:rRNA from 1 species
UGGGGAAUUUUGGACAAUGGGCGAAAGCCUGAUCCAGCAAUGCCGCGUGUGUGAAGAAGGCCUUCGGGUUGUAAAGCACUUUUGUCCGGAAAGAAAUCCUUGGCUCUAAUACAGUCGGGGGAUGACGGUACCGGAAGAAUAAGCACCGGCUAACUACGUGCCAGCAGCCGCGGUAAUACGUAGGGUGCAAGCGUUAAUCGGAAUUACUGGGCGUAAAGCGUGCGCAGGCGGUUUGCUAAGACCGAUGUGAAAUCCCCGGGCUCAACCUGGGAACUGCAUUGGUGACUGGCAGGCUAGAGUAUGGCAGAGGGGGGUAGAAUUCCACGUGUAGCAGUGAAAUGCGUAGAGAUGUGGAGGAAUACCGAUGGCGAAGGCAGCCCCCUGGGCCAAUACUGACGCUCAUGCACGAAAGCGUGGGGAGCAAACAGGAUUAGAUACCCUGGUAGUCCACGCCCUAAACGAUGUCAACUAGUUGUUGGGGAUUCAUUUCCUUAGUAACGUGGCUAACGCGUGAAGUUGACCGCCUGGGGAGUACGGUCGCAAGAUUAAAACUCAAAGGAAUUGACGGGGUCAUAGCUGUUUCCU